rnacentral:lncRNA from 1 species
ACUGGUGACGUGGUGAGUGGGUGAGUAGUAGCUACUGUAGUUCUAACCUUAUAAUUGUAAGUCUCUAAUAAAAAAAAGUAGUUUGAUAGUAUUUAGUUUGCUUGUUUGAGUAUUUGAAGUUCAACUAAGAUGCAAUAUUAAAAAAUGCUUACAAACCAGGAGCUAACUUACGUCACUGGUACCCUGGUACGUUACAGUUACAGGCUCAUAGUUCCUAGUUCCAAAAUGGCGGGCAACCUGUUCAGAUCGAUAGGGUUCAGACACAACUUAAAGGCUACACCACACUCUCCCUCAUCAUCAUUUUAUAUUGCAUUGAACCAUGCCUUGAACGGCAAUGAUAAGAUUUUAGGGCAGUCCGAAGCAGCUAUAAUAAUACCAGAAAUUGGAAGUUUUCAACUGCAUCCGUAUUCCGCGAAAAUGGGGAAAUGGGGUGUCGCAAUUUGAACGACAAGAUUUUGAACACUGGAAAGCAGAAGUUAUUAAAAGACAUUGGCGAAUGUAUCUUCUCUGAAAGAAGCUGGAAAAUUGAAGUAAUGUUCUGGCGCCUACGCCAAACGGUUAUAUCUGUUUUGGUUGCAGCAGUGCACAUAUUUCCUGUACAGAGUGUGCAAAUCCUGUUAAUGGUCCUGCUCCUAUGUCCCAUCCAACAACAAAAUAUGCAAAUUGGAAGUGGAAAACUAUUGGCAUUGGUGCUGUUUAGUUGUUUCCUCUAACCUGGCCAAGUUAGACGCAAAUUGAAAAGGUUGUAGAUGUUGAUCAAGAAAAUGUGAUCAACAUUUCAAGCAAGAAAACUUUCCUGGUUUUAGGUGGUUUGCGGUUGUGCUGGAAACGCCAUCUGUUGCCUCCGUGAUAGAAUGUGGUUACCUAAGCUUAAGGAAGAGCAUAAUAAGAACCUAAUUACGACAGAAUUGAAGACAGUCAGAAAAUAUGUACUGGUGUAAACUAUGAAUGCCUAUCUAUGGACUUCCUCAAGAGCAACGUUAGAUGCUGAGCCAAAAAUUAGUUAAUAUCUAGUUAUGAAGUAUGUUUAAACAAGGAAUAGCCACGCCCGAAAAACCCGUUGAGCUACACUUAUUCAAGAGAUAGCGAUGGCGUUGCGACUGUUUGUUAUCAAACGCCCAUACAUUCCGGUAUCCGAAGUUGUAGCAUAGCCCGCUCGAGUGCUUCACCGAAUUGCGGACCGGUCACAUGGCGUGUUAUCACUAGAUGGUGUUGAAUACCCCGUAGUAGAUGGCGUUGACAUACACCGCAGUAGAUGGCGUUGACAUACACCGCAGUAGAUGGCAUUGACAUACACCGCAGUAGAUGGCGUUGACAUACACCGCAGUAGAUGGCGUUUCAUACACCGCAGUAGAUGGCGUUGACAUAUACCGCAGUAAAUGGUGUUUGAAACGGCGGUGUGUCAUGUUAGUGAAGGGGCUCUCCGCCUAUUCUCUUUUAAAUUCCAGACCGAGCAGCCGCAAACGCCAUCUCUGGAGCUUAACAAGUGAUGGUCGAAGCUCUGCAAUUCAAAAGGUAAACCCGUUACCACUCCUGGUAUACUUCAUGGGACGAGUAGUAGUAGUAAGUAGUCGUUUUUAAUUUCAUCUGUCAUGUUUUUGUUCGUUGACGGAAGUACAAAAUUGGUCUGCUUCCUGCUAUUCCCUUCCUCUAUAUUCCAGAGUGACAACCCGCAUCGCCAUCUAUAGACCUUGACAUGCAUAGCUCAAGUUGUUUUGCAGGUGUUAAUAAUUCCUGGAAUACUUCAUUGUUGUAGUUAACUGUUACAGGCGUCACCUUCCGGAAUUUGACAUGUUUUUGGUUGCCAGUAUAGUAAACACCAGUUGAACUGAUCAUAACUUUGUUUUUGUUGAAAACUGGGCAUUUUAUUUCAGCAUUCUGGGGCAAGUUAUACAGUUAAGUAACUUUUUAUUGUUUAUGAAGUCUAUAUCUCCCUAGUUGAUUUAGAGAAACAUUACUUGUUUUGUAGAAUAACAUUUACUUUUGCAUUUUAUUCCAGAUUGCUGCCAAUUUUUCCUAGCUGAUCAUUAAAUUUGUCAUGUGGCUACAUAGCUUGGUUUACAUGUUCCAGGAGUUGAUAGCAGAAAGAAGUGUCGAAGUUUUGAGGUAAGCCACUUACUUGAAAGUUCCGAUUGUUAUCAGCUAUGCCAGCUGCUCAGCUAUGAAAUUGUAGGCUAUCUAUACUUUUGCUUUUUAUCAUGCCAUUUACUCAUGUAAAAGGCUUGUUGUACUUAAUGCUGGAGCUUGAAUGCUUGAUAUUGAAGCUUGAAUGUCAACAGUAAGACUGAUUUGGUUUUCAUCUAAUUAGUGUUAUCAGACAUUGAUCAUCAAUGUUUCAUGUAAACAAUCUUCUCUAUUUCGCAUGCAAGAAAAAAUUUCUUUAGCAUCACUGCAUUACGGUGAACCAUGAGCGGGAGUGUGACUAGUUCAACUUCGUGUUCCAACUUUCACCGUCACCUUCAUCUUUGUGACUAAACCGACCAACAUUCACCUACCUGAACGUCAUCGCUUCAUUAUGGUAUUAUAGAUUGUUACCUAAUAGAUUGCCAAUGGUUAACAAAUAAUUCCUGAUCUUCCCCUUUUCUUCCACCUCAUCAUCUUCAUCUCAUCGUCUUCAAGCUGGUCGUCUUUGCCUCACAGCUUUUAACCUGGUUGUCUUCGCCUCACCACCUUUAACCUGGUCGUCUUCGCCUCACCACCUUUAACCUGGUCGUCUUCGCCUUGCCGUUUUCGCCAGACCUUCUCCAUCUCGUCGAUUUGUCGCAUCGUCUUGUCGCAUCGUCUUGGAUCUCGCCUGUCUUCGCCUCAUCGCUGUCGUCGUGGAGCCUCGUGUUUUUGGUAUUGUUUUGUUUUGUAUUGUUGUAUAGUGUAUGUUGUAAGUUAACCCGUUGGCUGCCACCCAUUUUGCUCCCCCUCUUUUUUUUUAGUUGUAGGGACCGGCGGCGCUGUUCUACCCCAUGGCUGAUCGACCAUGGGGUGGGGCAGUCGCCUUGCGCCUUAGGGCGCCGUAGGCAAUGCACCAGUAGGGACUUCCCCUUGUCGAUGCGAUGGUGGAGUACCUGGGGUGUGCAUUCCCGUAAAGGUCUCCAUUGUCAAGUCAGCCCGGACUUGUCUUCGGACAAGUCCCCCUUUCAUCGAAUCCCUCAGAAACGAUGCGUAGCGACUGUAGUAGAACAACCUACGGGUUGUAAUGGCUUGGCAGCCAACGGGUUAACUUAGUGUUUGUGUAUAUGUGUAUGUAUUGUAUAACUUGUAAUGUAUUGAAUAACAUGUUAUGUAAAAUAGUGGUGGAAUUGUGGGUGGAGGUGGGAUAAUACAAAAUCAAUUCCUUUUA